AAUGUAACAAAAGUAUACUACAUUUAUAUUUACAAUCUGCAUAAUGACAUUCAGCAUAAAUAUGAUAAGGUUAAUGAUGUGGCAAUAAUUGGUACCCUGCAACCACAAUUGUUCAUACAUCACAGACAUACAGCACAAAAAACUAAUAAAUGCAAUCACACAUACAUGUACAAACAACUAAUAAAUGCAAACAAACAUACAAAUAUUUUUAACAAAGAAGCCAAAAAGAAGGUGUGGUAGAUAGUAAAUUUUAAAUUUGACAAUGACGUCAGCAAACUGACACAUUAAAUUUGUCUUUGAUAUUACAAAUCGUUUAUUGUAUAAACAAUAAGUCUUUCUCGAUAAGUCAAAAGUAAGUAAAUAUAAUAACA
rnacentral:lncRNA from 1 species